rnacentral:tRNA from 1 species
GGGUGCUUAGCUCAGUUGGUUAGAGCACUUCGUUUACACCGAAGGGGUCGUAGGUUCGAAUCCUUCAGCACCCACCA